UACGAAGGGGGCUAGCGUUGCUCGGAAUCACUGGGCGUAAAGGGUGCGUAGGCGGGUCUUUAAGUCAGGGGUGAAAUCCUGGAGCUCAACUCCAGAACUGCCUUUGAUACUGAAGAUCUUGAGUUCGGGAGAGGUGAGUGGAACUGCGAGUGUAGAGGUGAAAUUCGUAGAUAUUCGCAAGAACACCAGUGGCGAAGGCGCCUCACUGGCCCGAUACUGACACUGAGACACGAAAGCUUGGGGAGCAAACAGG
rnacentral:rRNA from 1 species